CAUAGGGUUUUUCUGAGGAUGACAAAGCACUGAAAGUCCCUAGCACAUGUGCUCACUGUUAAUGUCAUUAAGAACUACAGGAACUGGGCUGUCAAAUAAUUAAGGUCAUAAUCUUUAUUACAUGUGUCUUGGAGUUCUUUGCCCAAUUAGACAAACCUUCUUGAAAUUAUAGGCAUUGUUUUUUUGUCUUUGUUUUUGUUUCUCCUAAAGCAGAUGACACAGUGCUGUUUAUGUUGGCCAGCACCCAAUAAGCAAAUAAUGGGAAAUUGAUUAUUGAUUAUUUCCUCAUUCCCAAGUGAAAAGGAGAAAGGUAUCUCUAUUGGAGAUGAACGCAUGUUCAAUACACGUGGCCUGCCUGAGUCAUUAGCAAAGUGUCCAACAACUCUGAGGCGUAUCCUCAAAUGAAGCCUUGUCUCUGUGAAAUUCCUGAUAAAUCGUCAUUUUAUGGAAUGCCACAGGAAGAAGUUUUCUUUACAAGUUCUGAAGACUUGUGAUGAAUGAGUCCAUAGUUUCACCUUUGAAAAUGUCCCUGGGAGUGUCAACCCCAUCACUUUUACUUAUAUUACACUCAUAAUCAGUUCAUCUCGCCAAGAAAAAUAAUAUUAUCCUCAUGCCCAAACUUGUGACUUGAUUUGAAAACCAGUAAAUCAGAAAUAAAACUUCCCAUGUGUUUUUUUCCUACAUGAAUCCAAGUGACUCAGAUAUUGUGUUAUUCAAUAAGACUAUUACCAUGACUCAGGUAAAAGGGCCGUUUAUAUUUUCUGAAGUCUCAAGUCUAGGGUC
rnacentral:lncRNA from 1 species